rnacentral:rRNA from 1 species
AGGACGAACGCUGGCGGCGUGCUUAACACAUGCAAGUCGAGCGGAAAGGCCCUUCGGGUACUCGAGCGGCGAACGGGUGAGUAACACGUGAGCAACCUGCCCUUAGCUCCGGGAUAGCUCCGGGAAACCGGAAUUAAUACCGGAUACGACCACAGCCGACAUCUGCUGUGGUGGAAAGGAUUCCGGCUAAGGAUGGGCUCGCGGCCUAUCAGCUAGUUGGUGGAGUAACGGCCCACCAAGGCGACGACGGGUA